rnacentral:lncRNA from 1 species
UAGAAGAGAAGCAGCGUGCAGGGGACACAGUGACUGAGGCCGUGAUUUGUGAGAAGGCCAAGGCCUUGCACGCAGACCUCAUCCGGGAACAGCCAGGAACCUCAGGCGAGCCAGAAGUCUUCAAGGCAAGCAGAGGCUGGUUUGACCGGUUCAAGACGAGAUCUGGAAUCCACAGCGUGGUCAGGCAUGGAGAGGCUGCCAGUUCUGAUGUUCCUGCGGCUGAAGACUUUGCCUUGGAGUUCCUGGAGGUUGUGAAGACGGAGGGCUACGUUCCACAGCAGGUCUUCAACUGCGACGAGACCGGGCUGUUUUGGAAGAGGAUGCCCAAAAGGACUUUCAUCACUCAGGAGGAGGCCAAGUUGCCUGGCCACAAGCCCAUGAAGGACCGUCUGACCCUGCUCUUCUGUGCCAACGCAAGCGGCGACCUGAAGAUCAAGCCCCUGCUGGUGUACCACUCGGAGAACCCACGGGCCUUCAAGAAACACAAGGUCGACAAGGAGCAGCUGAGUGUCAUGUGGCGAUCCAACAGUAAGGCUUGGGUCACACGUGUGCUGUUUGUGGACUGGGUCAAUCUUGCUUUUGGCCCUGCUGUCAAACAGUACCUGCUGGACAACGACCUGCCGCUGAAGGCUUUGCUUCUGAUGGACAAUGCUCCUGCUCAUCCUAAAGGCCUUGAGGAGGACUUGUUGGAGGAGUUCAGCUUCAUCAACAUCAUGUUCCUGCCGCCUAACACCACGCCACUGCUCCAGCCGAUGGAUCAGCAGGUCAUCGCCAAUUUCAAAAACUCUACACCAAGGAGCUUUUCAGGCGAUGCUUCGAGGUGACUGAUUGCACCACCAUCACCCUGCGGGAAUUCUGGAAGGACCACUUCGACAUCGUCACCUGCUUGAAGAUGAUCACCACGGCCUGGAAAGGGAUCAGCCAGAGAAAUUUGAAUUGCGCUUGGCGCAGCCUGUGGCCGGACUGUGUGGCACCAAGUGACUCUGAUGCACCAGAGUCAACAGUGGUGCAGGACAUUGUUGCCUUGGGGAGGACCAUGGGCCUGGAGGUCACAGAGGAGGACGUCAGCGAGCUGGUGGAGGAGCACGACCACGAGCUGACCACCCAGGAGCUGGUCGAACUGCAGGCAGAGGCUGCGCAGGAGCAGGCCUCGCUGGAAGAGGAGGAAGCAACUGAGGAACGGCUGUCCUCCAAAGAACUGAGGGACAUUUGCCUGAAGUGGAAGGAUGUGCAGGCUUUUGCAGAGCGGAACCACCCUGACAAGCACGUGACACGUGACCUUGCGAACAGUUUUGAUACAAGGGUCAUGUCGUCUUUCAGGGAGGUGCUGAAAAGGCGGAUGAAGCAGCAGACCAUGGACAGGUUCUUAAGCAAGAAGCAAAGAGUGGAAGAGGAACCUUCUUCGAGUGGUCCCCCAGAGUCUUAGAAAAUGUAAUGUACCCUUUUUUGAUUUUUAAAUGUUUUUCCUGUCAUGUUUAGAAACUUAAUUUAUUGUUCCUUCAAUUUUUGAAAUGCUCUUUACAGUAUGUGUGACUUUAAAGAGCACUUAAUAAACUCUUGUUGUACC